UCAUAAUUGAUGGUGAUUUGCACAAUAAUUGAUUUGGGCCUCUAGGCCUGCCCUCUCUGAUGCCUUUCGGCUUUGAUUUGGGGGCAUGGUUUUGCAACAAAUGC